rnacentral:tRNA from 1 species
AGUGAAUUGCCUGAUUAAAAGGGUUACCUUGAUAGGGUAAAUUAUGUGAAUUAUUCACAUUCAUUA